UACAGAGGUCUCAAGCGUUGUUCGGAUUCAUUGGGCGUAAAGGGUGCGCAGGCGGCCAACUAAGUCGGAUGUGAAAUCCCCAGGCUCAACCUGGGAACUGCAUCCGAUACUGGAUGGCUUGAAUUCGGGAGAGGGAUGCAGAAUUCCAGGUGUAGCGGUGAAAUGCGUAGAUAUCUGGAGGAAUACCGGUGGCGAAGGCGGCAUCCUGGACCGACAUUGACGCUGAGGAGCGAAAGCCAGGGGAGCAAACGGG
rnacentral:rRNA from 1 species